UACGGAGGGGGCUAGCGUUGUUCGGAAUUACUGGGCGUAAAGCGCACGUAGGCGGAUUGGAAAGUUGGGGGUGAAAUCCCGGGGCUCAACCCCGGAACUGCCUUCAAAACUCCCAGUCUGGAGGUCGAGAGAGGUGAGUGGAAUUCCGAGUGUAGAGGUGAAAUUCGUAGAUAUUCGGAGGAACACCAGUGGCGAAGGCGGCUCACUGGCUCGAUACUGGCGCUGAGGUGCGAAAGCGUGGGGAGCAAACAGG
rnacentral:rRNA from 1 species